CUCCGCCAUUUCGCGGAGGGGGGAGGUGCGGUGGGUGCGCGGCCUCUCUGGCGGCCGAAGGUGGGAGGAGGGGAAGAGCCCCCGCGAGGGACCCUGAGCCGGCGCCUUCUGUGCACUCCAGGGGUGCGCCUGGGGUCCUCUAAAGUCCAAGGUGCUGUCUGGAUGUUAGGCUGGGGGCAGUGACCUGGUGUGAAGGUUGCAGGUGGGCCUCUAUUUAGAUGGAACCCAAGAGCGGAAGAGGGUUCUGCUGCUGAGAAAACGUUUGGUGAACUUCACUACCCACUCCUGAUUCACUGAACAUGGUCACGGAUAUUCCUUUCAUGGGAUAAAGAAAAUAGUGGCAGACUCGGCAAGGUGGAUAUGACACCAGGAGUUGUGGCAGUCAUGUUGUAACACUGAGGCAGAACACAUGAAAAAGAGGCAAAGUCCUUAUGGAGACAGGGCUUGACAUGGCUGAGCUGUUGAACCUAGGCCAGCAGCUGUCAACUCACAGGCCUCUUGUAAUCUGAGCCAGCUACCUGCUAAAGGAGGGUGGAGAGCCAGGAUCAGAGCUGGAGGAACUGCGAUCUGAAAUGUUUGACAGCCUCGGGCUGGGGCAGCCUUUGGGGCUACUUCACAGACAGCCAAG